GAUGAACGCUAGCAGCAGGCCUAAUACAUGCAAGUCGAACGGGAUUUGGGUGCUUGCACCUAAUGAGAGUGGCGCACGGGUGCGUAACACGUAUGUAACCUACCUUAAUCAGGGGGAUAGCAUCUCGAAAGAGAGACUAAUACCGCAUAAAAUCACACUAUGGCAUCAUAGAAUUAUCAAAUAUUUAUAGGAUUAAGGAGGGCAUGCGGAACAUUAGCUAGUUGGUAAGGUAACGGCUUACCAAGGCUACGAUGUUUAGGGGAUCGUGAGAGGAUGGCCCCCCACACUGGUACUGAGACACGGACCAGACUCCUACGGGAGGCAGCAGUAAGGAAUAUUGGUCAAUGGACGCAAGUCUGAACCAGCCAUGCCGCGUGCAGGAAGACGGCCCUACGGGUUGUAUACUGCUUUUGUACCGGAAUAAACCUCUUUACGUGUAAGGAGCUGAAUGUACGGUAAGAAUAAGGAUCGGCUAACUCCGUGCCAGCCGCCGCAGUAA
rnacentral:rRNA from 1 species